AGAGUUUGGAUCCUGGCUCAGAUUGAACGCUGGCGGCAUGCCUAACACAUGCAAGUCGAACGGAAACGAUGGGAGCUUGCUCCCAGGCGUCGAGUGGCGGACGGGUGAGUAAUACUUAGGAAUCUACCCAGUAGCGGGGGACAACUCGAGGAAACUCGAGCUAAUACCGCAUACGCCCUACGGGGGAAAGCAGGGGAUCUUCGGACCUUGCACUAUUGGAUGAGCCUAAGUCGGAUUAGCUUGUUGGUGAGGUAAAGGCUCACCAAGGCGACGAUCCGUAGCUGGUCUGAGAGGACGAUCAGCCACACUGGGACUGAGACACGGCCCAGACUCCUACGGGAGGCAGCAGUGGGGAAUAUUGGACAAUGGGGGCAACCCUGAUCCAGCAAUGCCGCGUGUGUGAAGAAGGCCUGCGGGUUGUAAAGCACUUUCAGUAGAGAAGAAAAGCCUACGGUUAAUACCCGUGAGUCUUGACGUUACCUACAGAAGAAGCUCCGGCUAACUCCGUGCCAGCAGCCGCGGUAAUACGGAGGGAGCGAGCGUUAAUCGGAAUUACUGGGCGUAAAGCGCGCGUAGGCGGCUUUGUAAGUCGGAUGUGAAAGCCCUGGGCUCAACCUGGGAAUGGCAUUCGAUACUGCAGAGCUAGAGUAUGGUAGAGGGAAGUGGAAUUUCCGGUGUAGCGGUGAAAUGCGUAGAUAU
rnacentral:rRNA from 1 species